CCUACGGGAGGCUGCAGUGGGGAAUAUUGCACAAUGGGGGAAACCCUGAUCCAGCGACGCCGCGUGAGUGAAGAAGUAAUUCUUUAUGUAAAGCUCUAUCAGCAGGGAAGAAAAUGACGGUACCUGCGUUAGAUCCCCCGGCUAACUACGUGCCAGCAGCCGCGGUGAUAUGCAGGGGGCAAGCGUUAUCCGGAUUUACUGGGUGUAAAGGGAGCGUAGACGGCAGGGCAAGUGUGGGGUGAAAUGCGGGGGCUCAACCCCAGGACUGCUCUUGAAACUGUUGGGCUGGAGUGCAGGAGAGGUAAGUGGAAUUCCUAGUGUAGCGGUGAAAUGCGUAGAUAUUAGGAGGAACACCAGUGGCGAAGGCGGCUUACUGGACUGUAACUGACGUUGAGGCUCGAAAGCGUGGGGAGCAAACAGGAUUAGAUACCCCUGUAGUC
rnacentral:rRNA from 1 species